rnacentral:rRNA from 1 species
UACGAAGGGGGCUAGCGUUGCUCGGAAUUACUGGGCGUAAAGGGCGCGUAGGCGGACAGUUUAGUCAGAGGUGAAAGCCCAGGGCUCAACCUUGGAAUUGCCUUUGAUACUGGCUGUCUUGAGUUCGGGAGAGGUGAGUGGAAUGCCGAGUGUAGAGGUGAAAUUCGUAGAUAUUCGGCGGAACACCAGUGGCGAAGGCGACUCACUGGCCCGAUACUGACGCUGAGGCGGCGAAAAGCGUGGGGAGCCAAACAGGG